CUCAGUUCGGAUUGGAGGUCUGCAACUCGACUCCAUGAAGCUGGAUUCGCUAGUAAUCGCGCAUCAGCCAUGGCGCGGUGAAUACGUUCCCGGGCCUUGUACACACCGCCCGUCAAGCCAUGGGAGCCGGGGGUGCCUGAAGUACGUGACCGCGAGGAGCGUCCUAGGGCAAAACUGGUGACUGGGGCUAAGUCGUAACAAGGUACC
rnacentral:rRNA from 1 species